GAAACAUCUUCGGGUUGUGAGGUUAAGCGACUAAGCGUACACGGUGGAUGCCCUGGCAGUCAGAGGCGAUGAAGGACGUGCUAAUCUGCGAUAAGCGUCGGUAAGGUGAUAUGAACCGUUAUAACCGGCGAUUUCCGAAUGGGGAAACCCAGUGUGAUUCGUCACACUAUCAUUAACUGAAUCCAUAGGUUAAUGAGGCGAACCGGGGGAACUGAAACAUCUAAGUACCCCGAGGAAAAGAAAUCAACCGAGAUUCCCCCAGUAGCGGCGAGCGAACGGGGAGCAGCCCAGAGCCUGAAUCAGUGUGUGUGUUAGUGGAAGCGUCUGGAAAGGCGCGCGAUACAGGGUGACAGCCCCGUACACAAAAAUGCACAUGCUGUGAGCUCGAUGAGUAGGGCGGGACACGUGGUAUCCUGUCUGAAUAUGGGGGGACCAUCCUCCAAGGCUAAAUACUCCUGACUGACCGAUAGUGAACCAGUACCGUGAGGGAAAGGCGAAAAGAACCCCGGCGAGGGGAGUGAAAAAGAACCUGAAACCGUGUACGUACAAGCAGUGGGAGCACGCUUAGGCGUGUGACUGCGUACCUUUUGUAUAAUGGGUCAGCGACUUAUAUUCUGUAGCAAGGUUAACCGAAUAGGGGAGCCGAAGGGAAACCGAGUCUUAACUGGGCGUUAAGUUGCAGGGUAUAGACCCGAAACCCGGUGAUCUAGCCAUGGGCAGGUUGAAGGUUGGGUAACACUAACUGGAGGACCGAACCGACUAAUGUUGAAAAAUUAGCGGAUGACUUGUGGCUGGGGGUGAAAGGCCAAUCAAACCGGGAGAUAGCUGGUUCUCCCCGAAAGCUAUUUAGGUAGCGCCUCGUGAAUUCAUCUCCGGGGGUAGAGCACUGUUUCGGCAAGGGGGUCAUCCCGACUUACCAACCCGAUGCAAACUGCGAAUACCGGAGAAUGUUAUCACGGGAGACACACGGCGGGUGCUAACGUCCGUCGUGAAGAGGGAAACAACCCAGACCGCCAGCUAAGGUCCCAAAGUCAUGGUUAAGUGGGAAACGAUGUGGGAAGGCCCAGACAGCCAGGAUGUUGGCUUAGAAGCAGCCAUCAUUUAAAGAAAGCGUAAUAGCUCACUGGUCGAGUCGGCCUGCGCGGAAGAUGUAACGGGGCUAAACCAUGCACCGAAGCUGCGGCAGCGACGCUUAUGCGUUGUUGGGUAGGGGAGCGUUCUGUAAGCCUGUGAAGGUGUACUGUGAGGUAUGCUGGAGGUAUCAGAAGUGCGAAUGCUGACAUAAGUAACGAUAAAGCGGGUGAAAAGCCCGCUCGCCGGAAGACCAAGGGUUCCUGUCCAACGUUAAUCGGGGCAGGGUGAGUCGACCCCUAAGGCGAGGCCGAAAGGCGUAGUCGAUGGGAAACAGGUUAAUAUUCCUGUACUUGGUGUUACUGCGAAGGGGGGACGGAGAAGGCUAUGUUGGCCGGGCGACGGUUGUCCCGGUUUAAGCGUGUAGGCUGGUUUUCCAGGCAAAUCCGGAAAAUCAAGGCUGAGGCGUGAUGACGAGGCACUACGGUGCUGAAGCAACAAAUGCCCUGCUUCCAGGAAAAGCCUCUAAGCAUCAGGUAACAUCAAAUCGUACCCCAAACCGACACAGGUGGUCAGGUAGAGAAUACCAAGGCGCUUGAGAGAACUCGGGUGAAGGAACUAGGCAAAAUGGUGCCGUAACUUCGGGAGAAGGCACGCUGAUAUGUAGGUGAAGCGACUUGCUCGUGGAGCUGAAAUCAGUCGAAGAUACCAGCUGGCUGCAACUGUUUAUUAAAAACACAGCACUGUGCAAACACGAAAGUGGACGUAUACGGUGUGACGCCUGCCCGGUGCCGGAAGGUUAAUUGAUGGGGUCAGCGCAAGCGAAGCUCUUGAUCGAAGCCCCGGUAAACGGCGGCCGUAACUAUAACGGUCCUAAGGUAGCGAAAUUCCUUGUCGGGUAAGUUCCGACCUGCACGAAUGGCGUAAUGAUGGCCAGGCUGUCUCCACCCGAGACUCAGUGAAAUUGAACUCGCUGUGAAGAUGCAGUGUACCCGCGGCAAGACGGAAAGACCCCGUGAACCUUUACUAUAGCUUGACACUGAACAUUGAGCCUUGAUGUGUAGGAUAGGUGGGAGGCUUUGAAGUGUGGACGCCAGUCUGCAUGGAGCCGACCUUGAAAUACCACCCUUUAAUGUUUGAUGUUCUAACGUGGACCCGUAAUCCGGGUUGCGGACAGUGUCUGGUGGGUAGUUUGACUGGGGCGGUCUCCUCCUAAAGAGUAACGGAGGAGCACGAAGGUUGGCUAAUCCUGGUCGGACAUCAGGAGGUUAGUGCAAUGGCAUAAGCCAGCUUGACUGCGAGCGUGACGGCGCGAGCAGGUGCGAAAGCAGGUCAUAGUGAUCCGGUGGUUCUGAAUGGAAGGGCCAUCGCUCAACGGAUAAAAGGUACUCCGGGGAUAACAGGCUGAUACCGCCCAAGAGUUCAUAUCGACGGCGGUGUUUGGCACCUCGAUGUCGGCUCAUCACAUCCUGGGGCUGAAGUAGGUCCCAAGGGUAUGGCUGUUCGCCAUUUAAAGUGGUACGCGAGCUGGGUUUAGAACGUCGUGAGACAGUUCGGUCCCUAUCUGCCGUGGGCGCUGGAGAACUGAGGGGGGCUGCUCCUAGUACGAGAGGACCGGAGUGGACGCAUCACUGGUGUUCGGGUUGUCAUGCCAAUGGCACUGCCCGGUAGCUAAAUGCGGAAGAGAUAAGUGCUGAAAGCAUCUAAGCACGAAACUUGCCCCGAGAUGAGUUCUCCCUGACUCCUUGAGAGUCCUGAAGGAACGUUGAAGACGACGACGUUGAUAGGCCGGGUGUGUAAGCGCAGCGAUGCGUUGAGCUAACCGGUACUAAUGAACCGUGAGGCUUAACCUU
rnacentral:rRNA from 1 species